UACAGAGGGUGCAAGCGUUAAUCGGAAUUACUGGGCGUAAAGCGUGCGUAGACGGUUAUGUAAGUCGGGUGUGAAAGCCCCGGCUCAACCUGGGAAUGCCAUUCGAGACUGCAUAGCUAGGGUGCGGAAGAGGGAAGCGGAAUUUCCGGUGUAGCGGUGAAAUGCGUAGAUAUCGGAAGGAACACCAGUGGCGAAAGCGGCUUCCUGGUCCAGCACCGACGUUCAGGCACGAAGCGUGGGGAGCAA
rnacentral:rRNA from 1 species